GAAUGGAGGCAGACCAGACCGUCACAAGAACCAUGACCUACCAAUAUGGAAACCAUUUGUAAUUUAUUUUUAUGGGACGCCAGUUUUAUUUUUCUGGUUCUUGCUGUAUUCGGCUUUCUUGGAUUUUUCUUUUCCCGCUAUUAUUGUCAUCUUUUGCUGCUAUAUUGCUCGAGUAAUUUUUGGAUUGUAGACUACUCGCUUUCCAGUUGCCAAACCGUAUGUUGCGUGCCAAAGGAAGUUAAAAGGACAAAGAUGAUGAAGGAAUGGGUUUGUCGAAGCGUUUUCGCGGUUUCUAGGAUCAGCUGUUCAUGAAAACAAUGCAGCCGCACAAGAAACCGGAGCUAUGGCUCUUUUUAACUUAGCAGUCAACAAUAACAGGAACAAAGAGUUGAUGCUGACUUCAGGGGUCAUUCCCUUGCUUGAGAAAAUGAUCCCAACCAUUAUAAAUCUGACUCUUAAUUUCGAUCGUUCUCAGGCCCUUGGACUUCUUAUUAACGUUCUUUAAUUUUUCAUAUCAGUGGUAAAUGCAAAAGAUAGAAGAAGGGAGAGACAUGGUUAAUCAACUUAGCAGCGCUCCAAUUGUUUUCUUUAGCAUUUGCAUAUACUGUAUCAUUUCAAGUUAUCACUUACAUUAAUAUGAUUUUUUUUGGUAUA